rnacentral:lncRNA from 1 species
UUUUUUUUUUUUUUUAAUUUUUUUUUUUAAUUUUUUAUUUAUUUAUGAUAGUCACAGAGAGAGAGAGAGAGGCAGAGACAUAGCCAGAGGGAGAAGCAGGCUCCAUGCACCGGGAGCCCGACGUGGGAUUCGAUCCCGGGUCUCCAGGAUCUCGCGCUGGGCCAAAGGCAGGCGCUAAACCACUGUGCCACCCAGGGAUCCCCUUGUUCCUGAUCUUGAUGUCCAUGUACACCUGAGGAUUUGACUGGGCCUUUUUGGCAGCGGGCUCUCCCUGGGCGCAGAAAUCAUUAGUUUGGAGAGCACUCUGACUCCCCAGGUAGGAGAGCGAGCUUUUUUUUUUUUAAGUUUUAUUUUUAUUUAAGUGACCUCUACACCCAACAUGGGGCUUGAACUCCCAACGCCGAGAUCGAGAGUUGCAGGCUCUACUAACGGAGUCUGCCAGGCGGCCCAGGAGACCGAGUUCUCUGAACACACACCAAGGACCCAAAUGCAGCAAGCGGGCUGUGGCAGGUGCUGAUGGGGAAGGCCCUGGGCCGUGGAAGGGCAGGCGGAAGGCAGAGGCCAGGGCCCUGGUCCCCGGCCCGACCCCCAGUGACAGGAACCCCCAGCACCGGCUACCUUGAGCCCCAUUCCACAGGCUCAGGACCUCAUCACACUCGCCCUGAGAUGCACCAGCACGCUGCACCCUGGACUACGGUCACACAACCACACCCUGGCCUGCAGUGUGCAGCUCUCCACACCUGCAGACCCCAGUUCAGAGACAUCUGGUGGCUUAGUCGGUUAAGCGUCUGCCUUCGGCUCAGGUCAUGAUCCCACGUCCUGGGAUAGAGCCCCGUGUCAGGCUCCCUGCUCAAUAGGCAGUCUGCUUCUCCCUCUCCCUUUGCUGUUCCUCAUGCUUAUAUGCUCUGUCAAAUAAAUAAAUAAGAUUAAAAAAAAACAAAAACAAAAACCAACAACCAACCCCAGUUCAAGCCCACCCACCUUACUCAUGUCACAGGGACCCAUAACCUUCUCCAUCUAUGCCACCCCCUACAGAUUCAUAGCCGGGCUGCAGUGAAAGCAGAAACAGCUGCCUUCUGACUCAGGCCAAGUGCCCAGAAGACAGUGAGGGGGUCGGGCCUUGCUUUGUGCUCCACGCAGACUAGGGUGACUAGCUGAUACAUUCAGAACAAACCCAUUUGUUUGCUAAAGAAAACUACUGUCUCUGACCUACCUGUGGUGUGGAUUAAUUGGUCAAUGUGUGCACGCUGAGCUUUCAGGCCAAGUGCUGGAGAUGUUAAGUAAGGUCCCUGAGGAGCUGGCGAUCCAGCGGCAAAGGUGGGGGAGGGGAGAAGGGAGGUCGGCCACCAAUGCGAGAGGCACACGGACCCCAGUGGCAGGCACACAGCCUUCGUUCCAAUCUUGGCUCCACCCUUCUGAGCCGCAUGAUGUUGGACAGGUUACUUGAUCGCCCGGUGCUCAGUUUUGUCACCUCGAGUUGGAGACAGUUAUUAGUACUUAGCUCAAAGGAUUAUUGUUAGGAUUCAAUAUUUGUAAAGCACUUAGAGUCAGCAACAUGUAAACAUUUUUAAAUAAAUAAUGUCAAAAUAAUGCCAUAAAAUGCCAGGACUGAGGUUGCCACAGGAGCCCAGAGGCCACAAAAGCCCAGAAGGGACCCUUAUCUCACUUCACUGGAGGAGUCAGAAAAGUUCCCUGCAGAAGGCAGCAGCUGAGCUCAGCUAUAAAAGCUGAGUAGGAGUUAGCGAGAGAAAGUCAGUUGGAAAGGGAAUUUAGGCCAAGGGACUGCAUGUGUGAAAACACAGAGAUUUAUACCUACAAACUUUAUUCUAGAAUGCAAACUAGGGAUACAGUGUGGAGAGAUGAGUGGGGUCCAAACAUGGAAAGCCCCUCUGUCCCCCACUACAGAUGAGGCACCCCUAGGCUGCUUGAGGAGAGCCACGUGGUCAACUCUGUGCCUUAGAAAGCUCCCUCUGGCUGCUCAGGAUAGGAGGAAGCAGGUCUGGGGCAGGGAGACCAGCUAUUUGUAGGAGAGACGACAGAGGCUACACCAGGCUACUGUGGCGGAAGCAAUCAGGAGAGCAGAGAUUCAGGCAGAUGUAAAGUAGAACACUGCAGGAUAUGGCAAUGCAGUAGGUGUGGGUUGUGAUGAGGACCGGAGAGGUCAUGAAAGUCCCUGGGUUGGGUGACUGUGGAAGAUGGCAAAGUUCAUUAAGAUCGGGUCCUCAGGAUGACCAGAGCGGAAGGAGAGAGGAAAUCCACUUGGGACGUGCUAUGUUGAUUUAUGGUGCCUGGAAGACAUGCAGGCAGGAACACAUGAAAUUCAGGAGAGAGGUCAAGGCUGGCCCCCUAGAGAUCCGGAAGUCAGCACAAGGCUGAGUGGCUGUGAUAAGCUCAGACACUGGCCAAGUGGCCGAAACUGCAAGGACAGCGUGCAGAGACGAGCCAAGGGCUAAGGGAGGAACUCAGAGAAACACUGUUGCUCUAAAGGUGGACAGACGAGCAGCUUGGCUAACCCCAGAAGCAACGUGACUGUGGGGUAUGGAGAAGCAGGAGAAAGUGCUGGCACCUGGGUCCAUCUGAGGGGCUGGGGCUCCCCGGAAUCAGGCCAGGAAUAGGAAGAGUGUGAGCCUGAUACCAAAGUCUUCACAGUGAUAGUGCAGGAAAGGUCAGGAGGAUGCGGGAUGCCAGCGAGGGGGCGUCCUCACUGUUCCUUCACAUCUCAGACCCCCACCUAGUUUGAGCAAUCUCAAGUUGGGACCCAAGCAUGCUGGAGGAUACUUCUCAUCUCAAGCCCCACACGGAUAGAGAAGCAGGCUUCUCCGUUCACCUCACCCAUCGCCACCCACAUCUAAGUGCCCUGUGGGGAAAGUACCAGCCCCUCCUGGGGAAGCGCAGGCCUUCGAUCUCACCCCCUGGGUUUCCACUUUGGGAGGCUCCAUUCCUUCCUCCUCUUUAUUCUUUUCAAAGAGUCUUCCCAGAAAUCUUCACCAGUAAUCAUCUGACCACACUGAAAGGCAGAGAAUUGAACAAAUGCUAAGAAAUUCAAGCUACCGGCCACCUGCCCCCUGACUGUACUUAGUUCUUUGCAGCUGUCAGCCACGUGGACGCCCCAUGGGGCUCUCACAGGCAGAAGUUGUCUCUGAGGACAAGGGACGCUGCCACUGGGAAACGUUAGGCCUUCAGGUCCAGCUCUUGGCAGACACAGAUGGCAAAACAGAGGAGGACCAAGCCGAGCCAAAAGGGAAGUCCCAGCCACUGUCGGGGCUGGACAGGCCCAGUCUGCGUCUACGGCCCAGAGCAAGACUUUAUGGGGACAGUGGCUCUAGCUUUGUGGAGAAUCUCAAACUCUCUUUCCACAGAGGUGCUGCACUCUCUUCCCCACUCUACAGCUAACUGUGAACACUACUGCAGAAGUGAGACAGGGAUAAAAAAGCAACAGAGGCCAAAGUUGAGGAUGUGAUGAGGCAUCUGCGGUGCCCCCACUCACCUGGUCUGGAUGAGCCUCCCUCAGUUCUCACUGGGUUGGCUAAACGGACACGAACUGUCCGCCCAAAGAGUUCAGAGCCAUCCUGCAAUACAACUUAGCUGCUUAAACCUCAUUUAGGUUAAAAAAAAGAUUUUUACUUCUAAGAAGUCUGAGCCCUGCUCAUGAUUAAGUCUGAGCCCACACCCCCCAAUAGCAAGCUAAGCACAAAGCUAAUCAUCAAAUGUCCCUGAGCCACUGCACACUUCUUUCAACACCAACAGGAAAUUCUGUGCUGGCAUGAUCUUCGGAUCUGAGCUCAGAACUCUGAAAUAAUAAGUAUAAAUGCAGUGACCGUGUAUUGAGUCCACUUUAAAAAAUCAAGACCAACACUAAAUGAGAGAGAGAGAGUAUUGCUGGCUGGUGGGACCAUGUUUGCUGAAAAAGUAAUAAAGGACUAUUUUAUUAUCCAAGAAUAACUGAUCUAGCGAAAGGGAAGUAGAUUUUUUUAAAAAGGUUUCUUUGGGACCUUUUCAUGAAAACUAAAAAAAUAUGAAAGACGAUUUCUUAAUUUAGUAAGAUAUAGGUUAUAAUUAUAGCUAUGCUCUUGUUCUUAGAAACAGAUGGCCAAAAUACUAAUUUUACUGCUAGCAAUUAAGAAAAAAAAUUGAACCAUAGCACGAAAUAUCCUUAUUUCACAUUUAGUCAUAAAGAUCAUAAGGAAAAAAAAAAAAAGAUUGAUCACGAAGAUUUAAAAAGAAAAGUGGGGGGGGGGGGGGGGGGGGGGCGCGGAGUGGAAACAAAUUUAAGAGUUCUGUUGCAGGCAAAAUGAUGGUCCCCUCAAAGAUGUUCACAUCCCAUUCCCCAGAACCUAUGAAUAUGAAGAAUUACACAGCAAGAAGGAAGGAAAGUUGCAGAUGGAAUUAAGGUCGCUGGUCUGCUGACCUUAAAAUAAAGAUGUCGUACUGGAUUAUUCAGAUGUGCCCAGUGUAAUCACAAGGGUCCUCUAAAUGUGCAGAGGGUAGGAGAGUCGGGUUCAGAAUGAUACCGUGUGAGAAAGACUCACCUGGCCAUGGCUGGCUUGAAGAUAGAAGGGAUCGGAAGCCAAGGAAUGAGGUCAAUCUCUAGGAGUUGGAAAACACAAACAGACUCUCCCUUAGAGCCUCCACGAGGAAUGGAGCCUUGCUCACACAGCGAGAACCCACUUUGGACUUCUGACCUCUAGAGCUGCAAGAUAACGCAUUUGUGGUGUUUUUUAAAGCCACUGACUUGGGGGCACCUGGAUGGGUCAGUGGUUGAGCAUCUUCCUUCAGCCCAGGGCGUGACCCCAGGGUCCCAGGAUCAAGAUCACGACUGGGCUGAAGGCAGGUGCCAAACCGCUUAGCCACCCAGGGAUCCCCACCAUGACUGGAAUCCUUAAAAGUAGAGGAGACACAUGCAGGGAACAAGGCCAUAUGAAAACAGGACAAAGAGGGGGCUGAUGCAGUUACAGGCCAGAGAAUGCCAAGGAUUGCCAGGAGCCAGGAAGAGCUGGGAGGAAAGGAUUCUUCCCUAGGGCCUUCAGAGGGAGCAUGGACCUGCCAUGUUCUUGAUUUAGGACUUCUAGCCUCCAGAGCUAGAAGAGCUACGGGAAUGAAUUUCUGUGGUGCUAAGCCACCGAGUUUGUGGUGAUUUGUUAGGGCAGCCCCAGGAAUCCACUGCAUCUAUCCAAAUGGAGAAUAGCACCUUUGGUACCCGACGACAAUAGUGACACUUGACACUUGUCAAGGGUGGCUCAGUCAGUUAAGCAUCUGCCGUCAGCUCAUGAUCCUGGGGUCCUUGGAAUGAGCACCCAAGUCAGGCUCCCUGCCUCUCCUCCCUGGUUAUGCACUCUCUCACUAUCUCUGUUUGCUAUUUCGGUCUCUAAUAAAAUCUUUAAAAAAAAAAAAAAAAAGGCAACACUAGUCAAAUACUAAACAAGGAAAAUUUCUUACAUCUGCCAACUCAAAUACAAUAAAAGCAAAUCCUCGGUGCUUUUCUACAAUAGCAGAAGUAGGUCACCAGUGUGUGAGCAAUAGUUAGAGACCAUAUCCAGAUGCCCUUUAAAGAAUGAAAAUCUAAUUUUUAGAGACUUCCACUUUGUCACUUUGUUUUAAAUAAACAUAACUAAACAAUGAAGUGAAUUUUUAAACUUUGUAGUAUCCAAGUCUACCACCACAGAAUCUAAGCCUUAAGUUACUUUCCGAGCAUGUGAAUAACUUUUGUUUAUAAGACUUACGAAGAGUAGACAACGUUGUUUAUCAAUUAUUCACUCCAACUGAGUACCAGAUGAGUACAGAGCACUGACCCCACUGAGUUAGGUGACUCAUAGGGAAGGCAGCCUGGUGCUUGUCCUCAGGAAAACACGUUAGCUGGCAGGGAGCGAGAAAAACAGGAGGUAAUAAUUUUUAGAAUUCAGGGAUAGUAGAGGCCCCAAGAGCCAGUCUU